UGAGACUUCAUUUUAAAUAGUUCUGUGGUCAGUGAAGCUGAAGCCCCACUUCCAUGAUGUCUAUCUCCAAGACCUUUCAGAUAUUACUAAGCUAAUAUAAGUAAUACUCCACAGUCUGAUAGACAUGGAAAUUUAAUUGAGGAAGUCUUCCCCAGUAAAAGGCAUGCUGGAGGUGGUACCUGCAUCAGACACCUUCAGUGCUUAGGGAGAAAUGUGCUGAGGGAGAGAAAGCACAGAGAUCUGGAAUAAAGAGGAAAAGCAUAUAAUCAGAAAUAACAGCUCUCAUCAGGCACAGACAAUAGACAGCAAACUGGCUUCAGGAAAGCUAUUCAGGCAUCAUGGGAGCCAAAUCAACAGACACAAGUGCUUUCUCUUAGGAGGAUGCUGAUGACAGUUUGAUUACUUGGAAUCUGGGGUGAAAAUGCCCAACCAAAGAGAUCAGUUGACACAGAGGAAAACCAGCAGCACAUUAAAAUAAGAAAACCAGGAGGUUUUGUGAAGGACACAAUUGCGUGUUUGCGUGUUGCUGAAA